GUCGUCGCUUUAAGCGCAGGGCCACGCGGGAAGAGGGGGCGGGCCAGGCCGGCCCUCUUUCCUUCCCCCCGGCUCCCCCACGUGGUGCGGGUUGCCUGUGCCUCUCGGGUGCUGCUGGAGCUGGGCACAUACAGCGUAGAUCAUCCGCUUCUGUGCUGGACAAAGCUUUGAAUUAUCACAUUAAGGAAAACUUACCUUCUAUGUGAUUUCUUUAAGGUGGAGGUGUAGGAUGAGCUUACGGGAGAGAAGCACCCACAUAGGCCCACAUGGAUUGGGAUUGCUGCUUUGUGCAGGUGUGAAAGGAACUCUGCAGACAAAGGAAGAAGAAUUAUUCCAUCUGAAAGCAAGCCAGCACUGCACUCAAGGAAAAGAUUACCAACUGAAUUAUUGGGAGAAUGAAUGACGGCAAUUGGAUGACAAAGGGGAUCUGAUUCUGCAAUUGCACUGGCUGGUUAUGAGUGAUCCUGUUAUUCAACCACUUCUUGUGGGUUUUUGUGCAAGUGGCACUCAGACCGUUUCUGCAAGGGAAGAAAUCCAAGGAAGACUGGAAAAUGCAGCUACUGCCAACGCAGGGAAAAUUGAGCAGAUAUCCGGAAGACCCAGACCAUUCCAGUUCCUGUUCCAGGCAGGGAAACAGACGUAGGAGAAUUUCAGGUGAGAUACAAGCAGAAUGCAAGCUGGAAGAAGAAUAAGUUACAGCAUAUUGUAAUACAAUUAAAACAGGCAGAUUUAAAUUGCACUGUUACGUGUACUGGUAGAUCAUCAUGCUUGUCUACUCUCUGUUGUCUGACCUUUUUUAAGUGUCACACAGUGCCAAGCCAGUCCUUGCUGUCAAACCAGCAGAACAAGAUUUGAAACAAGUAGUCAAAGGCAUGAAAGUUCCAAAAAAGAAAUAGAUUUUGAGGCACUUAAAAGUAUGUCUGCAGCAAUGGGACGUGUUCAGUGAAUUAACAUGUGCACCGUUCAUGGUGUAGAAAGACACGGGAACGGAGGGAAAAGCCCUCCAGAAAAGGACCAAGAAGCUGUUGAAUCCUUGAGGAUGGUAAACGGCAAACAUCCUUUGAGGAAACUGCAUGCGUGCAAAGGUAGUGUGUCCCCUACGACCCCUUUCUCCACCUUCAGUGACAGGUCUCCAGCCACAGCCUCUGAAAUGGGUCUUUUCUAGGUAGCCAGUGUCACAGAACAAGGAGAAAAAUGUGUCUACCAUGAGGCUUUUGGCACUUGAGUACAGGGGGCCUGUCCUUCCCCUGUGUAGACUACUGACAAUAUGUGAUCUUGAAAGCACAGGCUUAUUUUCAAAACUUGUCAUUAAAUGUUUUUGUUACCUGAUGGAUUUCAGCCUGCAUAACAUUGUGUAUGUUCAAUAAUUGUCACUGCCCUCAAUAUUUAAUUCAAUCCAUUCCAGCCCCAACCAACUACCCUUUCUUUAAGCUCCCUCUUCUGCCAAAAGCCUUCUCCCUCAUAGCUAGGAUCUUAAAAAAUUCCUUGCCAUGAGGACAGACAGAUAUUUACCUCAAGUACACACAAAUGCAACCUGGUAAUGAGGUAAGGAACAAACACAUUUUGUAUCAGUAUCUCCAACUCCAGCACAAAAGAAGAGGAGUGUAUUUCUGCAUAUUGUAUGUUUCAUUUAGAGGAGUCAUAAUUUUUUAAUGCACCUGUCUUGCCGGUUUCCUUUUUGUGUCUUGCUGUGGAGGAAAGGGCAUUAAUAAACUAUGGUUUGAAGCUGCUGGUUUUAAUUUUUUUAAUCUGUACAUAAUUUCUUGUUCACAAGCUAGGAGUCUGCUCACUAAUUUUUUUGUUUAAGUAACUGCAGUUAGUCAAUUUAGUGUAGCUGGGUCACUUUAAUGAUCCCCAAAGUUUUCAAUGCCUUUUGGUAUGUUCAAGCUAAGGAAAAAUAAUGGUUUCCUUUCCUUUGUUAGAAGCACACAGGAUUUGCUCAUCUGACAGAGUUAUUUUUUAACAGUGCAGUGCAAAUCAGGUGCCAUACAUUAUGGAUGAACCUGGAUGCAAGGAUCUGGAGUCUAUUAAUGGCAUUAUUUCCCUUCACACCAGCUACCCAGCAAGUCAGCUGCUCAGUAGAGAUAUUCCUGGUUUGAUAGCCACCAGAGAUCAAACGUAGACUCUCUGUUUGCAAUUUGUUAAAUGCAAGUAACGGGCUAAAUUUUUUUUCUGAUUUACAGCCCUGCAGGGGUAAGAGCAAGAAUUUGCCUACCAUUUGGAUGCAAAUACUGAUGAUGGCUAUAUCCAUUAUGAGAGUUAUUUAAGAUACCUUUCAUCCCGCUUUCAUAAAUGACAAGGGGGAGUGACAGUGGUGCUCUCGCUCCUUUCUUUACUAAAAGAGCCAGAAGGAUCCCAGCUAAUCAAAGCUUGCAGUGAGAGUCAGGAUGACUGUGCCUCUAUCAAGGAAUAUUUCAAGUUAUGCAAAAAAUGAGGCAGUCAUCUUCUGGCUCAUAAAAACAAUUAUCUGUAGGAUUUUAUUGAAAGUAGCAGCAAAUAAGAAAGAAGUUUAAACUGGGAAUGUCACACUAAAUCCAGCUAUAUUACUUUCAAGGCUCAUUAAAGUGGUUAGUAGAUAGCAUUGAGUCAUUCCUUUCCCAACAGCAUGGCACAGUGCAAAGGGGGAAGGUAACAGCCUGGGGACCAGCACAGCACACUACAUGGGAUGCUGUGCAGUGACAGAACCUGAAGCUCCAGAAAUUUUAGAUUAUAAACCCCAGUGCAGUCAUUUAUCCCUCCAUCCAAGCCAGUGCAGAAGAGCUGCUAACCAGGCUCUUCAGGUGCCUGUCAGCUGUAGAAUGAAGGACGGCAACUGAUGACUGGCAGUUUUAUUACUUAUUUGUCACUUAUUAUGAAGCUGAUGAACUGACUGACUUUCUGAAGAUGAGUGGUUGGAGCUGAUACAGGUGCUCCUAGGUUAAGUCUCCUUUAAGAAGAAAAUGAAACCAUUUCCCUUCCUUAUGUCUUUAUUAGUGCAUCAGAUGAUUAAAAUGAAAUUAGAAACGUAAUUUAGUUGUCAGUGAAUAGUCCAGAUAGUUAUUUUACUUGUAUUUUGCUCCUCCUACUCAAGGCACAGAAAUUAGGCACUUUUUGUCAAUAAUGGGUCUCCAUACAGCUACAUUUCUAGACCUCUCCAAUGCAAUCGGGGCACUGCAGUAACUGUACUGUAGACUCUACAACAUCUUGAAAUUAAGCUGUUCCCAUAGAGUAAUUAAAAUUAUUUCUUCAUAUAUUUUGUAAGAGAUAAUAUUUAGGGCUUUUUCCUUGUGAAUCCUAACAAGACAGGCUACAUCUUUUUCUUCUUUCAAACUGUCAAGUUUAGUUCCUUUAUGCCAAAGGGAGAGCAGACGACUGUUUCAUGUGGCAACGUCUAUUUCCUAUAAAACAGCACAGCAAUCCCACCUGUCUUAAGUGUUUUUGGUGACACCUAGAAAGCUGUCUCUGAUCAAAGAGGCAUAGGACAGACAGGUUACAUACUGAUCUAAGACUGGUUGCUUCAUGGGUGAUGUACUGAUGCUUUGUGAAGGUAUGGACAGUUUGGGUUAGCGUGUAGAUCAUUGAUGCAAAUGCAGUGUCAGCAGUUGAUAUGAAUUGGGACACUGAUGAGUGCAAGUGUCAGAGAGGCUUUGUUUGGCCCUGGGAGAAGAAAACCCCCAAGAUCAGCACCAGUGCAACCAUCUCCCGCCUCCUUCACCUCCCACCCCUUUAUUUGGAAACAUGUUUAAGUCACAGAACAACAUAAAGUGUGUUUAGAUAGGUUCAAAACAGGUGGCCUAUGAUACUGCAAGAUCUGUGCUAGCCCCAUUGAUGUGAGUGUAAUCCAUGUUGGCAGAGUAGCAGCUGGUGCAGGAGAUGGAACCAGGUUCUUCCAGGAGCAGUCACUGUCUGCCAUGAGCACUGUGCCAUGGCUCUGCGCUCCAGCUGGCCUCAAACACAGCCAGCCCCAUAGUUAUAGGGCCACACGUGCUAUGUCACGGGCUGUGCUUGGGGCAGGGAGCCAGGGCAGGCACAGCUCCUGCCUGACUCAAGUGGAAAACCCAACACAUGAUUUCUAGCAGACACCAAGUAGCAAAAAAAAUAAAAAAAUAUUUCUUUAUAUUUGCUAAUGAAAGCUAUUGCUUUGCUCCAGACUUGGUGCUUCUCCCUGCCAGAAUCAUUCUAAGUACUUCAGCAUCUAAGGCUGGUCUUCAGACACAGGGUUCGACCUCAAAGCUCAGGAGCAAAAGCAGAAGGAUCUGUCAGAAAGCAGGGAGAGGUGUCCCUCAAGAUGAGGCUACAGCUGAGUGCUGCUCAACCAAAGUUCACAGUCCCUGCUGAUGGGUAGGCUAGGACAGGGCAGCACCACAACAUGCGAGUGGGAUGGCUGCUUCCACAACAGACGCAGCAGAGUCCAGCCAGCAGGAAGGAACAUACUCCAGUGAACUUGUCUGUUCCAAUGGCACUUAAAAUGCUUAAAUCCUUAUUUGUGACACCUUGGCACAUUUGAGUGCUGUGGUAAUGAGCAAAUGCCACCUCUGGAAGGGGAACUUGAGUAUAUUGACCCCUCACCCUGUUCAAACUGCUCAACUCCUUUUCUUUACCAUCUAGAUAAUUUUUGCUUCUGUCCACACUUUGCAGCAAGUUCUCAGACAUCACUAAUAUUCACACAUGAUGGUACACAUUAUAUGAUACACAGAUUAGUCUGCCCACCUCAUGGGACAUGCUACCUUCUCUUUACUGCUUUGGGCUGGGGACACCUGUGGAGGGGUUUUGAUAGAUAAAGAUUGUUGCUGAAUUAGUCAGGCUCAAAGGAAUCUCGAGGCCUCUUAGAGAAGCUGAGAACAGAAUCUGCUGUGAGAGAGAGGGGCGUUCCUCAAUCACCGGGGUCCUGGCAUGGCGUGAAUCAUCGGACGUAUCAUCAGUGAGACUCCAGCGCAUGGACAGCCCACGAUACUCAUUUAGCGAAUCCAUGCUUGGAGCGUGGACGCGUGAUUAGAAUAUAGUUACGUAUAUAAGGAGACUUGUUUCUGUAAUAAAUGGCUUUAGCGUGAUUCACAUUGAAUCGACUUGUUUUGUUGAGUCCUUAUCUCGUUCCUAGAGCUUUUUAAGGAGGAACCUCUAAAUUUAAUUUGUGAUUUUGAGUACGUAGUCAAGAUCCAACGUAUGUAUCUGGUUCUGAAUUUUUGUUUGUUUGUUUGUUUGUUUUUAUUAAAAAAAAGGGGGGAAGUAGGGGAAACACCACAAAACCAAUUAUCAAAAGCAUUGUAUGUGAUGAAAUACUUUGCAAGUAUGACCCAAAACUAUGCUAAAUCAGAAAUAACCUACAUUAGUUAUGGUCAACUUACUAGUCAAUGAAAAAGGCCUCAUCAAUUGAUAACCUGGGGAAAAGGUUAUGUUUGUGUCAUUACAGGCUGAGGAUUGAAGUGGAUUCAACAAAGAUUCAAUGGAUGCAGAUGGACAGGAGGAAGAUAAGUUGUGAGGGCUGUUUCAGAUGUAAACCAUGGAUCCUAAUUCAGUGUUAUAGAUGCUCACAGACCUGGUGGUCUAGAAGCCUAUCAGCAAGCAGGUGGUGUACCUUCUGUGGAGAAUGGCAAUUUGAACAAUCAGCAGGAGAUCCAAAAGGGUGAUAUUGUGAUCAGAUAGUCAAUGCAUAGAUAAGGUAAAACUAUGAGAUAUCUCUUCCAUAGUAAUCUAAGUUUAGCAACUGAUAAAGUUUUAGAAGGGAUAUUAAGGUUAAGCUAUUGAUCUUUUAAAUAGGUUAAGAUAACUUUUAAGAUAUUAAUUCAAUUGCUAAUAUAUGCUGAUGGUAUUAAGUAUAUUACUCUAUAAACUGCGCAGUUAUAGAUAUUUAGGAGGUUAAGAGAAAAUAUUGUAUUAACUUGUCUGGUUAUUUUGAAUGUAUUAAAAUAGUGUGUUGAUAAGGUUGUUAUAACAGAAUUAAGGUUUUAAGAAUAGGCAGAUAGUUGUUUGAUCUUAGUAAGUAAGGUUUAACUGCAUUAUAUGUAAUUGUAAUUAUGUUGUUAAUCACGUGUUUUGUGUUGCAGUAUAUUUCAAAAAUGAUUCGCCAUGCGGUUGAUGGUACUGACUAAUUCAAGAAAAAGAAAGGGGGAAGUGUGGAGGGGUUUUGAUAGAUAAAGAUUUGUUGCUGAAUUAGUCAGGCUCAAAGGAAUCUCAAGGCCUCUUAGAGAAGCUGAGAAGAGAAUCUGCUGUGAGAGAGAGGGGCGUUCCUCAAUCACCGGGGUCUUGGCGUGGCGUGAAUCAUCGGACGUAUCAUCAGUGAGACUUCAGCUCAUGGACAGCCCACGAUACUCAUUUAGCGAAUCCAUGCUUGGAGCGUGGACGCGUGAUUAGAAUAUAGUUACAUAUAUAAGGAGACUUGUUUCUGUAAUAAAUGGCUUUAGCGUGAUUCACAUUGAAUCGACUUGUUUUGUUGAGUCCUUAUCUCGUUCCUAUAGACACCUACCUGUACUUACACAUAGUGCCCCAGAAACACCAGCUAGGGUGGUAAGGAACAUGACAUGCUAUUCUAUGAUGAAAUGCAAAUACGUGCUUUCUUCAUUGUGAUUUUUCAGUCUGCUGUCAGUUUAGUAACAUCCAUCCAUUUCUUUCAGUUCCAGAAACUAUCAGUCUGUUCACAGUCAUCCAGACAAUCUUUUUUCAAAAUGGAAAGUGUAUUCACUUUAAAAAUUAUCCUGCCUGAUACAAUUUACUCACAAGGCUCACUAACAUUUCAGUUCUCAGUUUCCAUAAUAGCUGAAAAAUAUAGGUGUGCCAGAUAGAGCCUUUUGUGCAUUAGAAAUGACAGAAUUUUUGCUUCUAACAUUACAGAUGUGUAUACAUUGUCCUGAAAUCAUUGGGAAAGGGCAAAUAUAAGAAAAGCGUUUACAGCGUCUCUGUAUAACUGCCAAGAAGCUGAGAUAUAACAUCGGUAGAUAAUAAAUAAUAAUGCUCAUACUUAAUGACACAGACCGUUCAGAGGUAGCAGUACAAUAAAUACUGGGGCAAUAUUGUAAAUGUACACUCAUGCUUUGGACUUAUGCAGAGCAUUUCAUGAUGGUUUCAGAGCACUUUACAAAGAUGAGUUAGGCAUCACAAUGUUCUUGUAUUGAGUCUUUUAUCGCCAUUGUGUUACAGAAAGGAAAACAGGAAUUGUGAAGCCGAGGGCAUGUUGCAUGGUGCUGGCAGAGUCAGAACACCUAACUUAGCAGGAAAGCAAGGCCAGUGACGGGUGAGCUCUAACAACUAUUGCAUUGAAGGUGGAGGUAAGCUAAGGCAAACCUUGCUCCAAAGUGCCAAGACUUGGGCACAGGUUUUCUUCUGCUAGUCAUGUUGUGUGGGCAGCAGUAUGCACUCACUUCAGACAUGCUCUUGAUGCUGUGGGACAGCAGGAGCCUUCACCAUCUGCCAUGAGCAGGAGUGGCCCUUGUUCAUGGCCCCUCAGGGACUUGCUUUCCCUGAGCUGGCAGCCAGUGGCUCAGGCUUCCCAUGCUGCCACUGAGAGCUGGCAGAAAGCUCACUCCUGCUGCUUGGCUUCUCCCAUGCCUCUGCCCCUGCAGGAGCAGCACAACCACAUUGCAGAGCUCAUCUUGUCUCCCGACAUUGCCAGGCAGGCUUCAUAGUAAAGUAAAUGUAAUGCAAUGCAGUCCCGGGAUUCUAAUUACAAGCUUCAGGGUCAUAAUUACAAGUAAAACAAAUCUGUAACAUGGUUAUAGCCUGUAUUUAAUGUAACAUCUUUGUCAGUCUCAUAUUUCUUAUAGAGUUGGACAUGUGCCUUGAAGGCCAGUGUUUACACAUAUGCAGGCACGUCGCAAGAAGAGCCAGAGGCCAUGAUUGCAUUACAAAGAGCAAGUUUUAUUUUAGUUACAUCUCUACUGGGUGGAUCUCCGAAGCCACACCUAAGCUCCCAGGCACAGGUGACACAAGCGGGGAUGCAGGCCCUGGUCAUUUCAGCCCUGCUGGAAGAUCACUGGGCUUGCUGAGCUCGCCUGUAUUUCAAGGCUUCAGGCAGGCACAGCCUCCCGCUCUUUCUCACAAGAAAGCAGGAAUCUCAGACGUAGUGAUAAGGUGCCUAGAGUUUCUCACAGGCCUGUGUUGUCUACACAGGGGUUCUACUCAUCAAGCACACAAGUAAUCAACGAGAUCGUCUUUGAAUACAUUGUUAACAAGAGACCAGGAAGAAGCUCUGUGCUGGUGGAGCCUUUUGGACCAAGCUGCUGCUUCUUAGGUACCGUUGAUUCAGACGUGUCAGGCUUGCAAUGUACCGGUACAAGUUUGUAUGGUGGUUACUCUGCUGUGAGACACCAACCCCUCUGGGGUUAUCUUCAGACUUUCUUGUAGCAAGUGGCCCCCACUACCACCUGCCAGCUGGCCUGAUCCUGUGCUUGGGUUGCCCUUGCCUUAGGAGGAGCACAUACAGCCUCACAGUACACCUGGUUCAAAGCCGUUCCUGCAAGAGCAGAAAUUUGAAAUUGAAAUUUGAAACUGUUUGAUUGGAGGAGUCAGUGCAGCACUAUAUAUUAGCAUGGGUAUGUACACUUACUAGGGCCACAGUAAUGACUUAGAAAGAUUUCAAAUUUCAGUUCUGGUUUUCCACGUGGGUAAACAAACAACUAGGAAAUUAUUUUUCCACUGCCUUACUGUUGGUGUAGGAAUUUGCACUUUUUAAAGUGUGGAUCAUAAUGACUGUAAAAUUAAAACGUACAAGAAACGUGCAGAUUUAUGCAUUUUACUCACUUUGUGGUUGUGCAAAUAAAACCCUAGAGACACAGCAGCAAAAAAUCAGGCCAUUUUAUACUGUUUACUACGUAAUUUAAUUACUGUUCAACCCAACUUCAGAAUAACUGAGUUUGAAAAAAAGAAAAUAAAUAUACCUUUAUUAAGACAGAAAAGUAAUAAUCUUAAAUCAUUAGAUGUAGGUGACACUUCUAUAGAUCAUUAGAUAUCAAAGCCAAUGUAAUCACAAAUGCCACCUAUUAUUAGCAACACUUCCAGGUUUCAGGAACACAGGAAGGACUUUCUUUUGAUUUAAACCACUGCAGGUUGAAAACUGAUUUUCUAGCUUUCUGCUGGUAGAAGUCAGAUCAGAAUCAGCGUUCAGAAUGUGAUUAGUCCAAAAUGUAAAAGUUGGUUGGGUUUUUUGUUGUUGUUGUUGUUUUUUAGGGGAUGUGGGUGCCUUUUCUAAUAUUACUUUUUGAAAAUGACUUGCUUGUCUGUUGAGGGUUGGUGAUGGCUCUGUUAGUUUGCAUUAGACUGUAAGUAGUAUCAGCUGAAGUAAGUCUGGCAUUCAUAUGCUCCUCACAGAGCCUUGUUUUGCUCUGUCAACACUUUUCAUAUGUGCAUUGCAUUAAGGAUUCUGUAUGACAGGUUUGUACCUGGAGGCACAGCCUGUUCCCUUCCCCCCACUUCUUCCCUGAAAAUCCAAGUCUUUUCACACAAAGUAUUUAAUUUUCCUUUGUUCAGGACAAAAUGAUAUGGAAAGUAUGUGUUGCCUUGGGUGCAAAACUGAGAGCCUAUUGAUACUCCCCUUAUCCAGCUAGAUUUCAAACAGGAUAUUUAACAUCAGAGGGCACUAUGAUAUAGAUGGCAAGACAGAGACAGAUCAGGGCAGGGCAAAAUGACUUUAAAGUUGAAGUUCCUGUAGCUCAAAAAUGUCUUGUUGAAAUAAAGCAAAUCUUUUG